GGCAGUUACAAGCUAAGACAUGUUUUCCCAUCUUCACAAGCGAUCUGGGAGGGGGAACAUCGAUUGUGGAGAGACUAGAGUGAAGGAGUCUAGCCUUUCGUCUCAAAGUAAUGAUGGACAAAGACAGCGCUUCUGGGGAAUGUGGAAGCCAGCGACUCUUCUAUGGAGAGCAGCUGUGCAGGCAGGUGGUGGAGCAGAAGAAGGCGAGCUGCUGUGACAUCAUCAAGAUGCUGCCUAGCCCUGUGUCGCUGCUCUUCUGAGGAGACUGAGCCCUCUGACAAUGACUUGGAGAAGUACCAGGGUGAGGGCAUCUCAUGGCACAACAUUGACUACACCGACAAUGUGGGCUGUACCCACCUCAUCAGCAUGAAGCCCACUGGCAUCUUCUACCUGCUGGACGAGGAGAGCAAACAGUGAAUGCCGCAACACCCAGACCUUCUUCCCAGCCUGAAUGGUUAUAUCUCCACUUCCAGACAGACCUCCUCCCACAUGUAGCUGUAGAUUCCCCCAGGGCCGGGCAUCUUCCACACAUCUGGCUCUGCCUAUAUUUAGAGUGAGUUCAGGACCAACAAGGUGUGCCAAAACCCAGGGAGGUGUUGCUGUCCCUGGAGACAAAAUAGCCAGG
rnacentral:lncRNA from 1 species